GGGCCCGCACAAGUAGUGGAGCAUGUGGUUUAAUUCGAAGAUACGCGCAGAACCUUACCAACACUUGACAUGUUCGUCGCGACUUUAAGAGAUUAGAGUUUUCGGUUCGGCCGGACGAAACACAGGUGCUGCAUGGCUGUCGUCAGCUCGUGUCGUGAGAUGUUGGGUUAAGUCCCGCAACGAGCGCAACCCUCACUUUUAGUUGCCAUCAUUAAGUUGGGCACUCUGAAAGAACUGCCAGUGAUAAGCUGGAGGAAGGUGGGGAUGACGUCAAGUCCUCAUGGCCCUUACGUGUUGGGCUACACACGUGCUACAAUGGUAUCUACAACAGGAAGCAAAACUGCGAGGUUAAGCAAAUCCUUAAAAGAUACCUCAGUUCGGAUUGCACUCUGCAACUCGAGUGCAUGAAGCUGGAAUU
rnacentral:rRNA from 1 species